rnacentral:rRNA from 1 species
UGCCAGACUCCUACGGGAGGCAGCAGUAAGGAAUAUUGGUCAAUGGGAGAGAUCCUGAACCAGCCAAGCCGCGUGAGGGAAGACGGCCCUAUGGGUUGUAAACCUCUUUUGUCGGAGAACAAAACCCGGGACGUGUCCCGGACUGCGUGUAUCCGAAGAAAAAGCAUCGGCUAACUCCGUGCCAGCAGCCGCGGUAAUACGUAGGGAGCGAGCGUUGUCCGGAUUUACUGGGUGUAAAGGGUGCGUAGGCGGCCCUGCAAGUCAGAAGUGAAAUCCAUGGGCUUAACCCGUGAACUGCUUUUGAAACUGCAGGACUUGAGUGGAGUAGAGGUAGGCGGAAUUCCCGGUGUAGCGGUGAAAUGCGUAGAGAUCGGGAGGAACACCAGUGGCGAAGGCGGCCUACUGGGCUUUAACUGACGCUGAAGCACGAAAGCGUGGGUAGCAAACAGGAUUAGAUACCCCAGUAUGA